GACAGCAAACCCACAGUCUCUGUACAAAAACACAAGCUGACACACUGACGAGCUGCUGGAAGCCUUUUUUCCACACUGUUCCACUCAACUUUUUACCUCCACUAGAGGGCCACAUUAUCAAGCAGGCGCUGCACUACUUCUGCACUGUGUUCAACCAUCUGUCAAUAAUAACUGCUGCUGUGAAGAGAACCAUUCUCACUCUGAAUGCUGAACAUCAGCUACUUUCUCCUCUUCAUUUCAGCCUCGUUGUACACAUGGAACAUUGGCUGUGGAUUAUUCUUGCUGCUCUUUGCUUUGAGUGUAAAGGAGAAGACAGAGUGAUCCAGCCAACAGCAGAUGUCAUUGCUACUGAAGGAGGCACAGUUACACUGGACUGUACAUUUGAGACCAGUUCUACAACUCCCUAUCUGUUCUGGUACAAACAGGAUGGAAACAACAGCCCCAAAUUCAUACUGAGUCGCGUUAAACGGGAUCAAGGGAACACAGCAGACGAGUCCAAGGAGAGAUUUUCUUCCACACUGAAUUCCACCUUAAAAUCAGUUCCUCUGAAGAUCCAGAAGCUUCAGCUGUCUGACUCUGCUGUGUACUACUGUGCUCUGCAGCCCACAGUGACAGGAAACAGCAAAACUCUGCACAAAAACCUCUGCAGCAAACACAACACAAUACUCCACAACGUC